rnacentral:tRNA from 2 species
GGCGGGAUAGCUCAGUUGGUCAGAGCGCACGACUCAUAAUCGUGAGGUCGCGGGAUCGAGCCCCGCUCCCGCUACCA